ensembl:lncRNA
GAUCCUUACUCAGCGACACCUGGUUAUACCCACCCUGCAGCUGAGGACACAGAGGCCCAAGGACCGGAGCUAGCUUGUCAGGAUGGCAGAGUCAAGAAGUCAGGGCGCUGGGGUCAGAGCCCCUUGUCCGUGUAACCAUCCACACUGGGGGGUCUCUCAGGGCUCCGGCCCCCUCUGCUCCUCCCCACUCCAUCUUUCCCCGACUCGUGCUGCCAUCCCCCACCAGAGGCGAAUGGCAUCAACUCCCAGGCCACCAGGAUCUCAGCCAGAGAAUCCCAUGGACAGCGGAGCCUGGCGGUCUGCAGUCCAUGGGGUCACAGAGUCGGACACAACUGAAGAGACUGAGGACGCAUGCACUGCUGAGUCAGUUUGGCCAGGAUUCAUCUUGAUGUCUGAUGGGGCUCCUCACUCCUGUUGCUAGGUGACGCCACCAUGCCUGCCUUCAGCCAGAUCCUUCUGGUGGUUCUUCUAUUUGGAGUUGAAUCCAGUCUGUCUUCUCCAUGGCAAGACUUCAUCAGAGCGGUUUCUAGCCUUCUGUCUCUUGGUUAUCAUGGACUCGGGGCGUUGACGGGGAAGCCUCAGCACGUUGACCCAGAAGCCUGCUCAUCAGUCCCCAGGAUGCAAGACUCUCACAAGCCCUUUGUUGGAAGGAAGUUCGAUGGCAACUUCUUCCCAGCCAGGCUCACAACCUUCAACUUCUCUCUAUGAGGGCUCUUGGGAGUUAGCAGUCCCUCCAGACCUGGUCCAACGACCCCCACCUUGAAUAAAUGAUCUGCCUGGCUGUGCUUUAACAAGU